UACGUAGGGCGCAAGCGUUGUCCGGAAUUAUUGGGCGUAAAGAGCUCGUAGGCGGCUUGUCACGUCGGAUGUGAAAGCCCGAGGCUUAACCUCGGGUCUGCAGUCGAUACGAGCAAACUAGAGUGUUGCAGGGGAGACUGGAAUUCCUGGUGUAGCGGUGAAAUGCAUAGAUACCAUAAAGAACACCUAUUGCGAAGGCAGCUUACUAGGCUGUAACUGACGCUGAGGCACGAAAGUGUGGGGAUCAAACAGG
rnacentral:rRNA from 1 species